rnacentral:rRNA from 1 species
UACGUAGGGUGCAAGCGUUGUCCGGAAUUAUUGGGCGUAAAGAGCUCGUAGGCGGUUUGUCGCGUCUGCUGUGAAAACUCAGGGCUUAACUCUGAGCUUGCAGUGGGUACGGGCAGACUAGAGUGCGGUAGGGGAGACUGGAAUUCCUGGUGUAGCGGUGAAAUGCGUAGAUAUCGAGAGGAACACCUGCGGCGAAGGCGGGUUGCUGGGCCGACACUGACGCUGAUGCGCGAAAGCCAGGGGAGCGAACGGG